rnacentral:rRNA from 1 species
AGUGAACGCUGGCGGCGUGCCUAAUACAUGCAAGUCGAACGGAGUGGCGCACGGGUGAGUAAUGUAUAUCUAAUCUGCUCUACACUAGAGGACAACAGUUGGAAACGGCUGCUAAUACUCUAUAGUGUAGGAUGAGGCUAUAUUGUAUCAGCUAGUUGGUGAGGUAAUGGCUCACCAAGGCUAUGACGAAUAACUGGUCUGAGAGGAUGAGCAGUCAACCUGGUACUGAGACACGGUCCAGACUCCUACGGGAGGCAGCAGUAGGGAAUAUUGCUCAAGGGGGGAAACCCUGAAGCAGCAACGCCGCGUGAAGGAUGACACGUUUCGGAGAGUAAACUCCUUUUGUUAGGGAAGCGGUACCUAACGAAUAAGCACCGGCUAACUCCGUGCCAGCAGCCGCGGUAAUUC